GAUAUAGAAAACCUUGGAAUUCGAUGCCGGGUGAAUGGAGUACCAAAGCAGAAUGGUAAUACUUCAAUGCUUGUACACAGUGUGGAGAAACUUAUUGUCUUCAUAUCUCGGUUUGUCACUUUGAAGCCUGGAGAUGUAAUUCUAACUGGAACCCCUCUCGGAGUUGGUGUCUUCAGAACCCCUCCAGAAUUUUUAAAGCCUGGUGACGUCGUAGAAUGCGAAAUUGAUGAAAUUGGGACUAUACGCAAUGAAAUUGUUUAACAGAUGGUACCAAGAAGCUGAUGAUUAGAUUUUCAAAAAACUCUUCCUAUUUUCAUAAUUAUUUUUGUUAUUGUUAUAACAAAUUGAUCAUUCAAAGUACAAAUGAAGUAUUGGACUCGAUUUAAUUGGUUAACCCUUCCCUCUGUCCCUACAAUUUGCAGGCCUUUUGCAUAUACUAGAAACAAUUAUUAUUAGUAUUAUUAUUAUUGUAUUUUGAGAGUUUCUCCGUUUCUUUUAGAGAUACAUUGUAAUCUGUUAAGACUGAUACAUUGAUUAGAAGGCAUAUUUUUUUUAAUGGUGAUCUCUGACAACUACAACUGGCCUAUUAUUAUCAUCACCAUCAUCAUCAUCAUCAUUGUUAGCAUGCUGAGCAAAAUGCCACGAAGCAUUUUGCUUUAUGUUCUGAGUUCAAAUUCUGCUGAAGUUAACUUAGCCUUUCAUCCUUUUGAGGGUCAAUAAAAUAAAUACCAGUUGAGCAUUGGGUAUGGAGUCGAUGUAAUUGACUUACCCACUCCCUCGAAAUUGCUGGCCUUGUGUCAAAAUUUGAAGCAAUUAUUAUUGUCAUUAUUAUCAUAGGCAGAAUAAUUAACAUGCCCGACAAAAUGCUUUGGGGCAUUUUGUCUAUGCAUACAUUGAGUUCAAAUUUCUGCUGAGGUCAGCUCGGCCUUCCAUCCUUUAGGGGUCGAUAAAAUAAGUACUAGUUGUUUACUGGGGAAUCGAUGUAAUUGACUUACUCUUUCCUUGAAAUUGCUGGCUUUGUACCAAAAUUUGAAACAAUUAUUAUUAUUAUUAUUAUUAUUAUUAUUAUUAUUAUUAUUAUUAUUAUUAUUAUUAUUAUUAUUAUUAUCAUCAUCAUCAAAGCGGCGAGCUGGCAGAAUCGUUAGCACGCUGGACGAAAUAUUUAGCGGUAUUAGGCCUGCCACUAUGUUCUGAGUUCAAAUUCCGCGAGAUCGACUUUGCCUUUCAUCCUUUCGGGGUCGAUAAAAUAAGUACCAGUUGAACACUGGGGUCGAUGUAAUCGACUCAUCGCCACCUCCUCCAAGUUACCCUUGUGGCAAAAAUUUGAAAUAAUAAUAAUUAUUAUUAAUAAUAUUUGUAUUAUUAUCAUUUAUAUUAAGUAUCAUCAUUAUAAGAUUAUUAACUGUAUCCUGUUACAUGUUUCUCGUAUAUUUAAGAACAAUAAUCCCAACUGUUACCUAGAAAUAUUACUCAAAUACACUUGUGUUGGCAAAAUAAAAAUAUUUUUCUCUUAA